GGGUCCGCACAAGCGGUGGAGCAUGUGGUUUAAUUCGAUAAUACGCGAGGAACCUUACCUAGGCUAGAAUGCGAGUGAUAUCCAGAGAGAUCUGGAGUUCUUCGGACACAAAGCAAGGUGCUGCAUGGUUGUCGUCAGCUCGUGCCGUGAGGUGUUGGGUUAAGUCCCGCAACGAGCGCAACCCCUAUUUCUAGUUGCCAGCAAGUAAUGUUGGGGACUCUAGAAAGACUGCCUGCGUAAGCAGAGAGGAAGGAGGGGACGACGUCAAAUCAGCAUGGCCCUUAUGCCUAGGGCUACACACGUGCUACAAUGGCGUAUACAAAGGGUAGCGAACCAGCGAUGGUAAGCC
rnacentral:rRNA from 1 species